rnacentral:rRNA from 1 species
GACGAACGCUGGCGGCGUGCUUAACACAUGCAAGUCGAACGGACAGGCCCGGCGUUUGUGGGGUUCUCGAUUGGCGAACGGGGGAGUAACACGUGAGUAACCUGUCCUUGUCUUUGGGAUAACUUCAGGAAACUGGGGCUAAUACCGGAUAUGAGCUCCUGCUGCAUGUUGGGGGUUGGUAAGUUACGGCGGUUGGGUCUGGACUCGCGGCUUAUCAGCUUGUUGGGGGGGUAGUGGCGUACCAGGGCUUUGACGGGUAGCCGGCCUGAGAGGGUGGCCGGCCACAUUGGGACUGCGAGAGGGACCAGUAGGCUACCGGAGGCAGCAGUGGAGAAUAUUGCACAAUGGGGGGACGUGUGAUGCAGCGGCGUCGCGUGCGUGAUGACGGGCUUCGGGUUGUAAACCGCUUUCGCAUGUAACGAAGCGGGAGUGACGGUAAUGGGUAAAGAAGCACCGGCUAACUACGUG